GCUUGCGUUUUGUGCUUGAUUGACUAAUUGAAUUCUCCUAAGGCCUGGAACUUAUUGGCUGUUUCUCCUCCAGGAGUGGCAGUUAGAGUGUUGAAUAGUGUCCACUUCAGAAGCCAUAGGAUAGACUACAGUGUAGGCGAAGCUCCUAUGCCAAAUGGUGUGACACGGAGUCCAAUAACACAAGAAAAACCAUUUCCUGCUGUGUGUGAAAACUGUCCUGUGGAAAAAGUGGUGAGAGAGAACAGAAUGAUGAAGUUGCAGAAGCUAAAAUGCUCACCUCCUAUGACACUAGUGCAAAAAGAAAGAAAGAAACCACAAGUCUGUAUACACGGAUUAUGUUUAUUCAAUUAAGGUAGAAUAACUAAAUUCACUGUGUGUUUUUCCAUUUAAAUCAGUACAGUGUGUCCAGAUUAGCACCUUGAAAUUACUCUUAAUCCUAGUUUCAGUUACACUUGCAAUUGUACCACAGAACUUUGGUGCAUGUAUAUAAACUAAAAAUAUUGUUUAAAAAGAACUACAGCUGGGUAGUCCUUGAGCCGUAUGUGGGAUUCUAACGCAGUUGUCUCUGGCAGGAACAUUUCUUCAACAUUUUUAUUUUUAGAAAACAGCAGCCAACCCAAACAGAAAAAUUCACUUAAUGAGACACACAUCCAAAGGGCCUUACUUCUCAGGAUCCCUCAGGAGUAUUAAACCUAAUGCCUUUGUAAAAAAGCCUUGUGUCUUUUACGUCAUUUAACUCACUAAGGGUAUGUCUACACUACAAAGUUAAUUCGAAC